rnacentral:rRNA from 1 species
UUGAAGUUUUUGUUAAUAAGGAGUCGGACCUGCCCGGUGAAAUUUUUUAACGGCCGCGGUACUCUGACCGUGCAAAGGUAGCAUAAUCAUUUGCCUUAUAAUUGAAGGCUAGUAUGAAUGGUUUGACAAGAAUAUAACUGUCUCUUUGCAAUUUGAUAGAAUUUUAUUUCUAGGUGAAAAAGCCUAGAUUGAAUUAAAAGACAAGAAGACCCUAUCGAGCUUUAAAGAAGUUAGUGGAUGUCUGUUUUUACUUUGUAAAAAGUAUAGCUACUAAAUAUUUUGGUUGGGGCGACUAAGGAACAUAAAAAGCUUCCUUUGAAUUAUUUAUAAAACAUACGGGUAUUGAUCCACAGUUAGUGAUUAAAGGAAUUAGUUACCGUAGGGAUAACAGCAUUAUCUUUUUUGAGAGUUCUAAUCGAAAAAAGGGUUUGUGACCUCGAUGUUGGACCAGAAUAUCCUAAAGAUGCAGAAGUCUUUAAGGGUUGGUCUGGUUCGACCAUUAAAAUUCUA